UUUAACACAUUUUCAAUCACAUCUCUAGAAAGUGCAGCUGCCAGGCCAAAGUUAAAACUGCUCCCGAGAACCAAGAAAGACCCUGUUGCCCAAUCAGAACCUUCUAGAAAUUCAAGCAUAUUUGGCUCUGGCAAACCAAGGGAGGCCAAACCAGAUGAUUACACAGCCAGUGACGAAACAUCACAUUAGUAAAACAGAGGAAAACUUAGUGUAUUGAAUAAUAGGUUUUAUGUCAGUGAACAGUAGGUCAGCUGAUACCCUUUUGUAGGAUUGAAUAAACAAAGAAAAAAAACACUGAAUUAAUAAAAAGAUCUGCAGGAAGUCUAUAGAUACAUUGGCAGCAGGAAUAAUUGCAUGAUUCAGUACAGUUCAGGGUAAAGGGCCAAAAUUCCAAGUAGAAGAUCUAAGAAAUGGUCUCUUUUGUUGAAACUGUAUCAGUCCUAGUCGCAGUGCAAUGCAAGCAUAUCUUCCGGCCAUUGCAGAUAGUAAAGCAUUGUUUGUUGUAUGUGAUAUGAAUGUCAGAUACUUUUUCACUGCUCCUUACCAGCUGUCGUAUUAGAAUUCCAGUAUAUUGAAAUAAGUUGUGUCUUAGUAUCAGUAAAAUGGAUAAAAUCUUUGUGCUGCUGCCGGGACAGUGUGGAAAUCACAACACAAUGUUUGUGUUCUAAAAAGAUGCAAUGGUAUUAUUUUUGGAAAUGUUUCGAAAUCCCAGAUUUUGUUGGAAUGUAAAUUGUGAUUUAGUUUUGUGUUGUCUCAUGUGUAGAUAUAAGAGAUUUCAUUGAAUUAAGAAUGACAUUGGACAAAUUGAUAUAUAUCAAGACUCAAUUCGGAAUAGAAUGCUGACAAAGGCAUGUUGGAUUUUUUUUUUAAAAUUGACAACAUUCAUUGCACACUCAUGUGUUCAUUACUGUGGCAGGUUUCAUAAGCAUAGCAGCUACGCAGCCAAGAUUGUGUAAUAUAUUAUUCCUAUUGGUGUAUAGCAAACUGAUCUGAGCUUGUACAGGAAAUACUCGAGAAGUUUCUUGUAAUUCAGAUGGUUUGUUUUGGUAAGCUUUGCCAACUGAGCAUGUAUAAUGUUGAUACUUUGGAAUACACGCCAUUUUGUAUAGAAUUAUUUGUUGGACAUUUUAUUUGUACAGAUGUACAAAAUUAUUGGUCCUUUGAAAGGUCCUUUAUAUAUACCAAAAUGGAAAUAAAGUUUUAUGAAUUUUC